UUGCAUUCCAUUUGGAGUUCUCCAUCAUGAGCAAUUGGUCAUGGGAGACAGCUUCCUCGCGUGAGUUUAAUUUAUGUUGUAUUAUCUUAUUGCAUUAUAU